GGGCUUGACAUCCCACGAACCUGUCGAAAGGCAGGAGUGCCCGCAAGGGAGCGCGGAGACAGGUGGUGCAUGGCUGUCGUCAGCUCGUGUCGUGAGAUGUUGGGUUAAGUCCCGCAACGAGCGCAACCCUUAUCCGCUGUUGCCAUCAGGUAAUGCUGGGCACUCUGCGGAGACUGCCGGUGACAAACCGGAGGAAGGUGGGGAUGACGUCAAGUCAGCAUGGCCUUUAUGUCCGGGGCUACACACGUGCUACAAUGGCCGGUACAAACCGCUGCAAACUCGCAAGGGUGAGCUAAUCGGAAAGAGCCGGUCUCAGUUCGGAUUGUAGGCUGCAACUCGCCUGCAUGAAGUCGGAAUCGCUAGUAAUCGCGGAUCAGCACGCCGCGGUGAAUACGUUCCCGGGCCUUGUACACACCGCCCGUCACAUCACGAAAGCUGGCUGUACUCGAAGUCGCUGAGA
rnacentral:rRNA from 1 species